GACGAACGCUGGCGGCGUGCUUAACACAUGCAAGUCGAACGGAAAGGCCCUGCUUUUGUGGGGUGCUCGAGUGGCGAACGGGUGAGUAACACGUGAGUAACCUGCCCUUGACUUUGGGAUAACUUCAGGAAACUGGGGCUAAUACCGGAUAGGAGCUCCUGCUGCAUGGUGGGGGUUGGAAAGUUUCGGCGGUUGGGGAUGGACUCGCGGCUUAUCAGCUUGUUGGGGGGGUAGUGGCUUACCAAGGCUUUGACGGGUAGCCGGCCUGAGAGGGUGACCGGCCACAUUGGGACUGAGAUACGGCCCAGACUCCUACGGGAGGCAGCAGUGGGGAAUAUUGCACAAUGGGCGGAAGCCUGAUGCAGCAACGCCGCGUGCGGGAUGACGGCCUUCGGGUUGGAAACCGCUUUCGCCUGUGACGAAGCGUGAGUGACGGUAAUGGGUAAAGAAGCACCGGCUAACUACGU
rnacentral:rRNA from 1 species